UACAGAGGUCCCAAGCGUUGUUCGGAUUCAUUGGGCGUAAAGGGUGUGUAGGUGGCGCCGUAAGUCGGGUGUGAAAUUUCGGAGCUUAACUCCGAAACUGCAUUCGAUACUGCGGUGCUUGAGGACUGGAGAGGAGACUGGAAUUCAUGGUGUAGCAGUGAAAUGCGUAGAGAUCAUGAGGAAGACCAGUGGCGAAGGCGGGUCUCCUGGACAGUUCCUGACACUGAGACACGAAGGCCAGGGGAGCAAACGGG
rnacentral:rRNA from 1 species